UACGUAGGGUGCAAGCGUUUAUCCGGAAUUAUUGGGCGUAAAGAGCUCGUAGGCGGUUUGUCACGUCUGCUGUGAAACUGGAGGCUCAACCUCCAGCCUGCAGUGGGUACGGGCAGACUAGAGUGCGGUAGGGGAGAUUGGAAUUCCUGGUGUAGCGGUGGAAUGCGCAGAUAUCAGGAGGAACACCGAUGGCGAAGGCAGACCUCUGGGCCGUAACUGACGGCUGAGGAGCGAAAGCAUGGGGAGCGAACAGG
rnacentral:rRNA from 1 species